CUUUGCAUAAUAGUGCAAAUAUAUACCUCGUGACCUUCACGUCUCUUUGAGAUUUGGAGAAAACCUGAAGCGAAAGUUGAAAAAUAAAGAAGUAGAACAUUGAUAUUAUUUAAUAAAUCGAGAUUGGUGAUUCCGAAAAGUUUUUGGCGACUCUUUUUUUUGACUAAUUUAUAUUAAAAUUAUUUCAUUUUUGUUAUAUUUUCUUAUAGAGAAACUAUGGAGGUUACUAUGCUAUUCCUAUUUAGAAUAUUUGGAGGCGAGUUUUCGUAAAAUUAGCCGACUGUGAUGAAAAAUGUAAUUUUUAAUGAAGCGAUAAGCAUGUGAUAUUGAUAAACUACGUGAGAGGAUUAACAAGUGAAUAGCAACACAAAUUCAACAAUCAAAUAGGACUAGCUUGAACAAAAAUAGAUAACAAAAGUUAGCCUUUAAGAACUCAAUACGACAAAUAUAAGUAAGAUCUAAAGACGACAAGGAAUAUUAAAUUUGGUUAAGAGUUUUAGACUCCUAAUUUGCAGAACAUCCGAGGCUCUGCACUCCUAUUAGCGUUUAACCCGAUGUUGGGUCAAAGUGAGUUCCCUUGCGGAACUCCAACUCCCGAGUACAUGUAAAAAAGAAGAUAAAGAUUAAUAAUCGAACUUAAGCGACAUAGAUAAGUAACGAAAAUAAUGUGCAAUAUGCGACCAAAUAAUUCACACUCUCAACGUGGCGAUACGUAAAUGCACUAAAUGUGCACUUGAUAAAUUGUUGCGAAAAGGGUGUUUUAUAAAGGAAAAAAAAAACACAGAAAAACAAUUCCACCAUUACCUGAACUAUUUAACAAAUGGUUAUUCCCAUUCCAUGGGAAUUCAAUAGCAAUCCUAGGCUGAAAUUUCCCAAAGAAUGGGAACAUGACAAUGUAAAAUAACUCAAACCAAAGCUUAACUGAUGGUCCCGAAAACAAACUCACAUAAACUCAUUAUUGGAAGGUUUGUCUUAGAAAUAGACAUGAUACAACAUCCAUAAGGUGUAGGAAGCUACCUUUUCAAUUUAUUGCUUGAGAUCAUAAUAGAGUUGCAUCACAACUAAAAAAAACAAGGACACGACCAGCAGACCUUAAACCAAAUAGACAUGUUCACAGCCUUGUAUAUAUAAAUAUAAGAAAAUACAUAAAGGUGUCAUUGAGGAGGCUCGGAUAUGUUGAAAAAAAUUUUAGGCGAGUGAUUAAAUCAGGUUAUUGUAAAGAAUACUAGUUGCUCGUCAGCCGUCCAAGUACAUGACUACAAGACGUCAUCAAUUUCACCUUUUAAAUUCGGUUUCUCGUCAUCGCCGUUUGUUAAAGGGCCCUAAUCGAGGGAAAUAUUAUCCCGAACGUUAUGUGGUCUCGAAUUAAAUUUCAUUGGCCACUCUUGUGUAUUAUGUUGUUCAUCACCAGUUUAAUAAAAGUAACUAAAAUAAAAUCAUCAAUUAGUAAUUCCUAAAAAGGGGUCCAAAACAAAAGCACUGUAGUAACACAAUGACCAAAGAUGGCUAUGAGAAACACUUUAAAGUGUAUUCAAAGCUGCAAAUAUAGCCUAGUGAUGCAAAGAAAGAGCUCACGACUAAUAGACUACGAAACCAUGCCCGUACGAAUCUGUUGGAGUCAAUGUUCUCGGUUAACAAUGAAAUUACGAAUAGAAAAAUACAACCCAAUCAGUUAUGCAGAAUGAGCACACGUAGAAAAUAUAAUUGAACUAUCCGAUGAAACAUAAAAGAAAGAAAGAACAAAGAAAUGGAGGUAGUGGGUGGCGUUGCUUCAACGACAUUUGUCGGAGCAACGCCAAAAUCCCACAAAUCAGCAAUAUAGGUAACUUUUGGCCUCGUGAGUUCACCAAAACUUUUGACCAAUGACUAGGAAACGAGAGCGGCUGCCCAGAGACAAGUGGAGAGAGAUCCAUUUAACCCCUUUUAAAAGUAAAAUAACAAGGGAAAGAAAUAGUAAAAGAGCAAAAUCUGUAGAUUUUGAUAUGAAAAGAUUAUGCCUUCCUACUCCAUCUUCCCUCUGCUUCCCUAGUUGAUUUAGAGGUCAAAAUCAUGUUUAAGUAAAGAGUUAUCUUGCUAUUUCAAAACAAUACCAAUAUAUUAUCAUAUUCAAGUGUUCAAAGCUAAGGAAGAAGUUAUAUUAUUCUGCGAUCAGAAGCGAACUUCUGCGAAAUUUUAAACCUUUUAGAGAACCUCUCUGUGACGAGACGAAACAGUCGACAUGUUGCCAGCUAGACACAUAUAUAUUCAAUCGAUCCAUACCAUAUUAAGGUAGUCAAAUCGACAUCAAAACGACCUCAACUAGUCUGUCAAGCAACAUGUCUUGGAAUGCAAAGCUCCAUAGUCAGUAAGAUUAUCGCCAAAUACAUCAAACGACACAAAGACUACUAUAUUUUUUUUUGAGUUCUUAUUCGCAACUAACGUAACAAAACAUCUAAUAUCAUUAAAAAAAAAGAAACUCAAAAGUUUAAACCAUCAAUACUUUCAAAUACCCCAUUUAACACGAAACAGAGCAAACAUACCAGUGCUAUUCCCUUGUAUGGGGCAACGAAACUGAGGCUUCAGCGACAAAGGAUUCUCCGGCGACUCGAUUGGAUAUUUCUCAAGACGCCCAACGCAUGUAAAUAGAGAUAGCUCUAACAGGAAUCUUGUAUUGCGCGGCAAACUCGGGCUUCUUA
rnacentral:lncRNA from 1 species